rnacentral:rRNA from 1 species
UACGUAGGGGGCAAGCGUUGUCCGGAUUUAUUGGGCGUAAAGAGCGUGUAGGCGGCUAGAUAGGUCCGUUGUGAAAACUCGAGGCUCAACCUCGAGACGCCGGUGGAAACCAUCUAGCUAGAGUCCGGAAGAGGAGAGUGGAACUGCGAGUGUAGAGGUGAAAUUCGUAGAUAUUCGCAAGAACACCAGUGGCGAAGGCGGCUCACUGGCCCGGUACUGACGCUGAGGCACGAAGGUCAGGGGAGCAAACGGG